CAGCAGCCACGGUAAUACGUAGGGUGCAAGCGUUAAUCGGAAUUACUGGGCGUAAAGCGUGCGCAGGCGGUUAUAUAAGACAGAUGUGAAAUCCCCGGGCUCAACCUGGGAACUGCAUUUGUGACUGUAUAGCUAGAGUACGGCAGAGGGGGAUGGAAUUCCGCGUGUAGCAGUGAAAUGCGUAGAUAUGCGGAGGAACACCGAUGGCGAAGGCAAUCCCCUGGGCCUGUACUGACGCUCAUGCACGAAAGCGUGGGGAGCAAACAGGAUUAGAUACCCCGGUAGUCCCUGUCUCUUAACA
rnacentral:rRNA from 1 species